AUUACAAAGAAAUAAUAAGAAAUCUUAAAGAAAUAUUAUAAUGAUCACAAAUAUAUCUCAAAUACAUCUCAAUUCAAUCUUAAUUUAAUCCUAGUUAAAAUCCUAUUGGACUUCAUUCAAACUUUAGGCCAAAAACUAACUAAAUCUUAAAUCCUAAAUAAACUCAAAUAAAAUCCUAAAUCCUAAAUCAAACCCUAACUAAAUCCUAAAUCCUAAAUCAAAUCCUAAUCAAAUCCUAAACCAAAUCCUAAA
rnacentral:lncRNA from 1 species